UCUUACCUGCCCUAUUCCCCAGGGGUAACAGUCACCGUGGGCCAGACUCGAGCUAGCCGACAGGGAUGCGGCCACAGCUGGCCGGGCGUGACCACCACCGAGGCGGAGCGACCUUGCUCCUAGAGAGGCCCGGCCGCCUGGUGACGCACUUCCGGCAGCGCCGGGGAGCAGCCCGCUACGGAGCUUGCGCCCAUUGGAAGGGGAAACGCACGUUGCUGUCCCAGCCACGAGGCCCUGAGAAUUUAGCACUUGAUCGACGGGGGAAGAUGUGUCGGUGCAGCUAAAAGAUGGAAUAUUUGCGGGCGUGAAGCGGCCUGAGGUGAUACCACAAGUCUUUUGACAUGCUGAGGUCUGGCAGGAACAUUAACCUAUGUGCAUCCCGAGUAUGGACCGUGUGCUCCCAGGCUCCUGACAUAGGGUCAUGAAUUAGGGCCGAGUGGGAGCGCAGAGCCCCUCCCAGUCACCCGGCAGCAGAAGCAGCCCGGCUUUUGGAGGACAUUGUCUCCUGGAGCAGUGUCAGUCCCAAAAGCUCCAGCCCUUCUCUGAGACGGGGACCAGGGGAUGGCAGCCAUGCAC
rnacentral:sRNA from 1 species